GUUCUGUUAAAGAGUGCUCUUGUGGCUUCCAUGCAGAAGUGCACGGAAACAGCUAUUUGCUAUUGAAAAGUUGGCUGUUACUGUUCUUCUGAUGGAUGCUGCUGGAUUCUGACACUGGCAUGUGC
rnacentral:precursor_RNA from 10 species